rnacentral:rRNA from 1 species
AUUGAACGCUGGCGGCAGGCCUAACACAUGCAAGUCGAGCGGAUGAAGGGAGCUUGCUCCUGGAUUCAGCGGCGGACGGGUGAGUAAUGCCUAGGAAUCUGCCUGGUAGUGGGGGAUAACGUCCGGAAACGGGCGCUAAUACCGCAUACGUCCUGAGGGAGAAAGUGGGGGAUCUUCGGACCUCACGCUAUCAGAUGAGCCUAGGUCGGAGUAGCUAGUUGGUGGGGUAAAGGCCUACCAAGGCGACGAUCCGUAACUGGUCUGAGAGGAUGAUCAGUCACACUGGAACUGAGACACGGUCCAGACUCCUACGGGAGGCAGCAGUGGGGAAUAUUGGACAAUGGGCGAAAGCCUGAUCCAGCCAUGCCGCGUGUGUGAAGAAGGUCUUCGGAUUGUAAAGCACUUUAAGUUGGGAGGAAGAGAAGUAAGUUAAUACCUUGCUGUUUUGACGGUACCAACAGAAUAAGCACCGGCUAACUUCGUG